rnacentral:rRNA from 1 species
AACGAACGCUGGCGGCAUGCCUAACACAUGCAAGUCGAACGAGACCUUCGGGACUAGUGGCGCACGGGUGCGUCACCCGCCGGAAGCUGCCCUAACGGUCCGAAUAACUCCCCGAAAGGGAUGCCAAUACGGGAAAAUCUCUUCGCACCAAAGAUUUAUGGACCUUGGAGGGGACCGCGUUGGAUUAGCUAGUUGGGAGGGUAAAAGCCUACCAAGGCGACGAUCCGUAGCUGGUCUGGGAGACAGAUCAGCCACACUGAGGCUGAGAGUCGGCCCAGACUGCUGCGGGAGGCGGAAGUGGGGAAUGCUGGAGAGCGGGCGGAAGGGUGAGCGACAAAUGCGGCGAGAGUGCUGCAGGCAGUAGGGUUGUAAGGCUGUUUUACCCAGGAUGAUAAUGACAGUACCGGGAGAAAAAGCGCCGGCUAACUCCGUG